rnacentral:rRNA from 1 species
GAUUAACGCUAGCGGCAGGCCUAAUACAUGCAAGUCGAACGGUAACAGGUGUAGCAAUACAUGCUGACGAGUGGCGCACGGGUGCGUAACGCGUAUGCAACCUACCUAUAACUGGGGAAUAGCCUUCUGAAAGGAAGAUUAACACCGCAUAACAUCACGAAACGGCAUCGUUUUGUGAUCAAAUCUCCGGAGGUUAUAGAUGGGCAUGCGUGACAUUAGCUAGUUGGUGAGGUAACGGCUCACCAAGGCUACGAUGUCUAGGGGGUCUGAGAGGAUGAUCCCCCACACUGGUACUGAGACACGGACCAGACUCCUACGGGAGGCAGCAGUAAGGAAUAUUGGACAAUGGGCGCAAGCCUGAUCCAGCCAUGCCGCGUGAAGGAUGACGGCCCUCUGGGUUGUAAACUUCUUUUAUAUGGGAAUAAACCCCUGGUUUCUACCGGGGCUGAAUGUACCGUAAGAAUAAGGAUCGGCUAACUUCGUGCCAGCAGCCGCCGUAA